rnacentral:rRNA from 1 species
CUGCAGAGAUGUGGCCCCCCUUCGUGGUCGGGUAUACAGGUGGUGCAUGGCUGUCGUCAGCUCGUGUCGUGAGAUGUGGGUUAAGUCCCGCAACGAGCGCAACCCUAUCUUAUGUUGCCAGCACGUUAUGGUGGGGACUCGUAAGAGACUGCCGGGGUCAACUCGGAGGAAGGUGGGGACGACGUCAAGUCAUCAUGCCCCUUAUGUCCAGGGCUUCACACAUGCUACAAUGGCCAGUACAGAGGGCUGCGAGACCGUGAGGUGGAGCGAAUCCCUUAAAGCUGGUCUCAGUUCGGAUCGGGGUCUGCAACUCGACCCCGUGAAGUCGGAGUCGCUAGUAAUCGCAGAUCAGCAACGCUGCGGUGAAUACGUUCCCGGGCCUU